rnacentral:rRNA from 1 species
AGAACGAACGUUGGCGGCGUGGAUUAGGCAUGCAAGUCGAACGAAUCCCGACGCUGUAGCAAUACAGUGAAGGUGGAAGUGGCGAAAGGGGCAGUAAGGCGUGGGUAACCUACCUCGGGGACGAGGAUAGCCAUCCUAACGGAUGGGUAAUACUUGGCGAUCUGGCGAUGAGGCAUCUUGUUGCCAGGAAAUGAAUUUCGCCUCGAGAGGGGCUCACGUAGUAUUAGCUUGUUGGUGAGGUAACGGCUCACCAAGGCGAAGAUGCUUAGCGGGUGUGAGAGCACGACCCGCGCCACUGGCACUGAGACACUGGCCAGACUCCUACGGGAGGCUGCAGUCGAGGAUCUUCGGCAAUGGGCGCAAGCCUGACCGAGCGACGCCGCGUGUGCGAUGAAGGCCUUCGGGUUGUAAAGCACUGUCGAGGGGGAGAAAGCCGCAAGGUUGAUCUAUCCCUGGAGGAAGCACGGGCUAAGUUCGUGCCAGCAGCCGCGGUAAGACGAACCGUGCGAACGUUGUUCGGAUUCACUGGGCUUAAAGGGCGCGUAGGCGGGUGGUCAAGUCAGGGGUGAAAUCUUUCGGCUCAACCGGAAAAGUGCCUUUGAUACUGGCCAUCUCGAGGGAGGUAGGGGCAUGUGGAACUUCCGGUGGAGCGGUGAAAUGCGUAGAUAUCGGAAGGAACGCCGGUGGCGAAAGCGACGUGCUGGACCUUUUCUGACGCUGAGGCGCGAAAGCCAGGGGAGCAAACGGGAUUAGAUACCCCGGUAGUCCUGGCCCUAAACGAUGGGUACUGGAUUGUGGACUUAACAUGGGUUCACAGUCGCAGCAAAAGUGUUAAGUACCCCGCCUGGGGAGUAUGGUCGCAAGGCUGAA